CUGCGCUCCCCCCACUCCACUUCACCAAUUCUAUUAAUAAAGAGUUAAGAAAAUUCAUUAGGAAGUGGGCCUUUUAUAGAUUCCGUUAAAGCCUUCUUCCUACCUCUGUCACCGAGAAAGGAUAAAAACCCUUUUAUCACUCUACAACUUGUUAAUGUUCCACCCCAGGAGCACUUCAUCUGUAAUAAACAUCUUCACAAAAUAUGCAUCCCCAGGGAGGAGCCGUUAAUUUCCUCGAGGCCUCACACAUGUAAGGGAUUUUAUUGCCUGCAGGUGCUUCAUGAUAUUGCAUGGGCUUCUAAUAAACGGCCAGUAAACCGCAGGUAGCGCCUCGGAGGCCGAGGGUUCCGUGCACCUGUCCACGAAGGCAUCCACACACCGUGCCUCUGCCUUCCAAAGCCGGGCCCUGGCACAGGCGGCUCCCAGCUCGACCUGCCCCCAACCUGCCUCUCCGGAUGCCGACAGGUGUUGGGGAUGGAACUCAAGGCCUCGCACACGUUAGGCAAUCGCUCUGCCACUGAGCAACAUCCCCGGCCCGGGAAGCCUAUCUCUCAGCUGCUCCUUAAGAGCCGUCCAGGUCUACAUGGGCUGCUCGGCAGCGGCUGGCCUCCUUCCAAACACACGUCGGCAGCGCGAAGCCAAGGGACUUAUUUUCCGGCCGUCAGAGGAGCUCCCCUGAGCUCCGCUUUCUCUGUGCGAGGCUCGGGGACUCACCGGUGGGGCGAAGAUGGGGGCGACCCGCGGAGCGCAGUGAGGGCCAGCCCCGGCACAGCGCCCCGGUGUGGCUGACCAGGUGCGAGCUGGCUGCCCGACGGCGGGAUCCCAGGGGCU
rnacentral:lncRNA from 1 species